rnacentral:rRNA from 2 species
CUUCUGACAAAUCUUGAGAUUGAGGGGUCCCCUUUGGGGUACAGAGCGACAGGUGGUGCAUGGUUGUCGUCAGCUCGUGUUGUGAGAUGGUGGGUUAAGUCCCGCAACGAGCGCAACCCUUGAUUUUAGUUGCCAGCAUUUAGUUGGGCACUUUAAGGUGACUGCCGGGGACAAACCGGAGGAAGGUGGGGAUGACGUCAAAUCAUCAUGCCCCUUAUGACCUGGGCUACACACGUGCUUCAAUGGAUGGUACAAAGGGGUGCAAGACCGCGAGGUCAAGCCAAUCCCAUAAAACCAUUUUCAGUUCGGAUUGUAGGUUGCAACUCGCCUACAUGAAGCUGGAAUCGUUAGUAAUCGCGGAUCAGCAUGCCGCGGUGAAUACGUUCCCGGGCCUUGUACACACCGCCCGUCACACCACGAGAGUUUGUAACACCCGAAGUCGGUGGGGUAACCUUUAUGGAGCGCAGCCGUCCUAAGGUGGGAUCAGAUGAUUGGGGGAAGUCGUAGCGAGAUUUAUAGGCA